rnacentral:rRNA from 1 species
AACGUAGGACGCAAGCGUUAUCCGGAGUUACUGGGCGUAAAGCGCGAGCAGGCGGCUCGACAAGUUCGCUGUGAAAGCUCCCGGCUCAACCGGGCGAGGCCAGUGGAAACUAUCGAGCUGGAGGGCAGUAGAGGCAGGCGGAAUUCCGGGUGGAGUGGUGAAAUGCGUAGAGAUCCGGAGGAACACCAGUGGCGAAGGCGCCUAUCUGGCUGACAACUGACGCUGAGACUCGAAAGCAUGGGGAGCAAACAGG